rnacentral:rRNA from 1 species
CGAAUGCUGACGUGAGUAACGACAAAACGGGUGAAAAACCCGUUCGCCGAAAGACCAAGGGUUCCAGUCCAACGUUAAUCGGGGCUGGGUGAGUCGACCCCUAAGGCGAGGCCGAAAGGCGUAGUCGAUGGGAAAAUGGUUAAUAUUCCAUUACUUCUGUGUAAUGCGAUGAGAGGACGGAGAAGGCUAAAUCAGCCUGGCGUUGGUUGUCCAGGUGAAAGGAUGUAGGCAUGUAUCUUAGGCAAAUCCGGGGUACUCUAUGCUGAGAUCUGAUAGCAAGCUGUACUUGUACAGCGAAGUGGUUGAUGCCAUGCUUCCAGGAAAAGUCUCUAAGCUUCAGUUACACAGGAAUCGUACCCGAAACCGACACAGGUGGUCAGGUCGAGUAGACCAAGGCGCUUGAGAGAACUCUGCUGAAGGAACUAGGCAAAAUGGUACCGUAACUUCGGGAGAAGGUACGCUGUUGUUGGUGAUGGAACUCGCUUCCUGAGCUGACGACAGCCGCAGAAACCAGGCCGCUGCAACUGUUUAUUAAAAACAUAGCACUCUGCAAACACGAAAGUGGACGUAUAGGGUGUGAUGCCUGCCCGGUGCUGGAAGGUUAAUUGAUGGGGUUAGCGUAAGCGAAGCUCUUGAUCGAAGCCCCAGUAAACGGCGGCCGUAACUAUAACGGUCCUAAGGUAGCGAAAUUCCUUGUCGGGUAAGUUCCGACCUGCACGAAUGGCAUAAUGAUGGCGGCGCUGUCUCCAGCAGAGGCUCAGUGAAAUCGAAAUCGCUGUGAAGAUGCAGUGUACCCGCGGCUAGACGGAAAGACCCCGUGAACCUUUACUGCAGCUUGACACUGAACUUUGACCUUACUUGUGUAGGAUAGGUGGGAGGCUUUGAAGCUGGAACGCUAGUUCCAGUGGAGCCGUCCUUGAAAUACCACCCUGGUAAUGUUGAGGUUCUAACUCUGUCCCGUGAUCCGGGACGAGGACCGUGUCUGGUGGGUAGUUUGACUGGGGCGGUCUCCUCCUAAAGAGUAACGGAGGAGUACGAAGGUGCGCUCAGCGUGGUCGGAAAUCACGCGUAGAGUAUAAAGGCAAAAGCGCGCUUAACUGCGAGACCCACAAGUCGAGCAGGUACGAAAGUAGGUCUUAGUGAUCCGGUGGUUCUGUAUGGAAGGGCCAUCGCUCAACGGAUAAAAGGUACUCUGGGGAUAACAGGCUGAUACCGCCCAAGAGUUCAUAUCGACGGCGGUGUUUGGCACCUCGAUGUCGGCUCAUCUCAUCCUGGGGCUGAAGCAGGUCCCAAGGGUAUGGCUGUUCGCCAUUUAAAGAGGUACGCGAGCUGGGUUUAGAACGUCGUGAGACAGUUCGGUCCCUAUCUACCGUGGGCGCUGGAAAUUUGAGAGGAUCUGCUCCUAGUACGAGAGGACCAGAGUGGACGAACCUCUGGUGUACCGGUUGUGACGCCAGUCGCAUCGCCGGGUAGCUAUGUUCGGAAGGGAUAACCGCUGAAAGCAUCUAAGCGGGAAGCCUACCUCAAGAUAAGAUUUCCCUAGGACUUUAUGUCCUCUAAAGAGCCGUUCGAGACUAGGACGUUGAUAGGUUGGAUGUGGAAGCAUAGUGAUAUGUGAAGCUGACCAAUACUAAUUGCUCGUGAGGCUUGACUAU